rnacentral:rRNA from 1 species
AUAAUGGGUCAGCGACUUAUAUUCUGUAGCAAGGUUAACCGAAUAGGGGAGCCGAAGGGAAACCGAGUCUUAACUGGGCGUUAAGUUGCAGGGUAUAGACCCGAAACCCGGUGAUCUAGCCAUGGGCAGGUUGAAGGUUGGGUAACACUAACUGGAGGACCGAACCGACUAAUGUUGAAAAAUUAGCGGAUGACUUGUGGCUGGGGGUGAAAGGCCAAUCAAACCGGGAGAUAGCUGGUUCUCCCCGAAAGCUAUUUAGGUAGCGCCUCGUGAAUUCAUCUCCGGGGGUAGAGCACUGUUUCGGCAAGGGGGUCAUCCCGACUUACCAACCCGAUGCAAACUGCGAAUACCGGAGAAUGUUAUCACGGGAGACACACGGCGGGUGCUAACGUCCGUCGUGAAGAGGGAAACAACCCAGACCGCCAGCUAAGGUCCCAAAGUCAUGGUUAAGUGGGAAACGAUGUGGGAAGGCCCAGACAGCCAGGAUGUUGGCUUAGAAGCAGCCAUCAUUUAAAGAAAGCGUAAUAGCUCACUGGUCGAGUCGGCCUGCGCGGAAGAUGUAACGGGGCUAAACCAUGCACCGAAGCUGCGGCAGCGACACUGUGUGUUGUUGGGUAGGGGAGCGUUCUGUAAGCCUGUGAAGGUGUCUGUGAGGAUGCUGGAGGUAUCAGAAGUGCGAAUGCUGACAUAAGUAACGAUAAAGCGGGUGAAAAGCCCGCUCGCCGGAAGACCAAGGGUUCCUGUCCAACGUUAAUCGGGGCAGGGUGAGUCGACCCCUAAGGCGAGGCCGAAAGGCGUAGUCGAUGGGAAACAGGUUAAUAUUCCUGUACUUGGUGUUACUGCGAAGGGGGGACGGAGAAGGCUAUGUUGGCCGGGCGACGGUUGUCCCGGUUUAAGCGUGUAGGCUGGUUUUCCAGGCAAAUCCGGAAAAUCAAGGCUGAGGCGUGAUGACGAGGCACUACGGUGCUGAAGCAACAAAUGCCCUGCUUCCAGGAAAAGCCUCUAAGCAUCAGGUAACAUCAAAUCGUACCCCAAACCGACACAGGUGGUCAGGUAGAGAAUACCAAGGCGCUUGAGAGAACUCGGGUGAAGGAACUAGGCAAAAUGGUGCCGUAACUUCGGGAGAAGGCACGCUGAUAUGUAGGUGAAGUCCCUCGCGGAUGGAGCUGAAAUCAGUCGAAGAUACCAGCUGGCUGCAACUGUUUAUUAAAAACACAGCACUGUGCAAACACGAAAGUGGACGUAUACGGUGUGACGCCUGCCCGGUGCCGGAAGGUUAAUUGAUGGGGUCAGCGCAAGCGAAGCUCUUGAUCGAAGCCCCGGUAAACGGCGGCCGUAACUAUAACGGUCCUAAGGUAGCGAAAUUCCUUGUCGGGUAAGUUCCGACCUGCACGAAUGGCGUAAUGAUGGCCAGGCUGUCUCCACCCGAGACUCAGUGAAAUUGAACUCGCUGUGAAGAUGCAGUGUACCCGCGGCAAGACGGAAAGACCCCGUGAACCUUUACUAUAGCUUGACACUGAACAUUGAGCCUUGAUGUGUAGGAUAGGUGGGAGGCUUUGAAGUGUGGACGCCAGUCUGCAUGGAGCCGACCUUGAAAUACCACCCUUUAAUGUUUGAUGUUCUAACGUGGACCCGUGAUCCGGGUUGCGGACAGUGUCUGGUGGGUAGUUUGACUGGGGCGGUCUCCUCCUAAAGAGUAACGGAGGAGCACGAAGGUUGGCUAAUCCUGGUCGGACAUCAGGAGGUUAGUGCAAUGGCAUAAGCCAGCUUGACUGCGAGCGUGACGGCGCGAGCAGGUGCGAAAGCAGGUCAUAGUGAUCCGGUGGUUCUGAAUGGAAGGGCCAUCGCUCAACGGAUAAAAGGUACUCCGGGGAUAACAGGCUGAUACCGCCCAAGAGUUCAUAUCGACGGCGGUGUUUGGCACCUCGAUGUCGGCUCAUCACAUCCUGGGGCUGAAGUAGGUCCCAAGGGUAUGGCUGUUCGCCAUUUAAAGUGGUACGCGAGCUGGGUUUAGAACGUCGUGAGACAGUUCGGUCCCUAUCUGCCGUGGGCGCUGGAGAACUGAGGGGGGCUGCUCCUAGUACGAGAGGACCGGAGUGGACGCAUCACUGGUGUUCGGGUUGUCAUGCCAAUGGCACUGCCCGGUAGCUAAAUGCGGAAGAGAUAAGUGCUGAAAGCAUCUAAGCACGAAACUUGCCCCGAGAUGAGUUCUCCCUGACCCUUUAAGGGUCCUGAAGGAACGUUGAAGACGACGACGUUGAUAGGCCGGGUGUGUAAGCGCAGCGAUGCGUUGAGCUAACCGGUACUAAUGAACCGUGAGGCUUAACCU